UUCUGGCUCAGGAUGAACGCUAGCUACAGGCUAACACAUGCAAGUCGAGGGGCAGCAUGAUCAAAGCUGCUUGAUUGAUGGCGACCGGCGCACGGGUGAGUAACGCGUAUCCAACCUUCCCCUUAGUAGGGCAUAGCCCGUAGAAAUGCGGAUUAAUACCCUAUGUUAUUCGUCGAGGACACCUGAAAUGAAUUAAAGGUUACCGCUAAGGGAUGGGGAUGCGUCCGAUUAGGCAGGCAGGCGGGGUAACGGCCACCUGGCCAACGAUCGGUAGGGGUUCUGAGAGGAAGGUCCCCCACAUUGGAACUGAGACACGGUCCAAACUCCUACGGGAGGCAGCAGUGAGGAAUAUUGGCAAUGGGGCGAGAGCCUGAACCAGCCAAGUAGCGUGCAGGAUGACGGCCCUAUGGGUUGUAAACUGCUUUUAUGCGGGGAUAAAGUCACCCACGUGUGGGUGUUUGUAGGUACCGCAUGAAUAAGGACCGGCUAAUUCCGUGCCAGCAGCCGC
rnacentral:rRNA from 1 species